UACGUAGGUGGCAAGCGUUGUCCGGAUUUACUGGGCGUAAAGCGCGCGCAGGCGGACUGGUCAGUCCGGUGUGAAAUCUCACGGCUCAACCGUGAGCGGUCCCCGGAUACUGCCAGUCUUGAGGUGUCUAGAGGAGAGCGGAAUUCCCGGUGUAGAGGUGAAAUUCGUAGAUAUCAAGCGGAACACCGGUGGCGAAGGCGGCCUUCUGGACAGUGACUGACGCUGAGACGCGAAAGCGUGGGGAGCAAACAGG
rnacentral:rRNA from 1 species